GUGGGGAAUAUUGGUCAAUGGGCGCGAGCCUGAACCAGCCAAGUAGCGUGAGGGAUGACUGCCCUAUGGGUUGUAAACCUCUUUUGCAGGGGGGUAAAGUGGUUCACGUGUGGACCAUUGCAAGUACCCUGCGAAUAAGGAUCGGCUAACUCCGUGCCAGCAGCCGCGGUAAUACGGAGGAUCCGAGCGUUAUCCGGAUUUAUUGGGUUUAAAGGGAGCGUAGGCGGGGGUUUAAGUCAGCUGUGAAAUGCCGUGGCCCAACCAUGGAACUGCAGUUGAAACUGGACCUCUUGAGAGUACAUAAGGAAGGCGGAAUUCGUUGUGUAGCGGUGAAAUGCAUAGAUAUCACGAAGAACUCCGAUUGCGAAGGCAGCUUUCCGGGGUACAUCUGACGCUGAAGCUCGAAAGUGCGGGAAUCAAACAGGAUUAGAAACCCGGGUAGUCC
rnacentral:rRNA from 1 species